rnacentral:rRNA from 1 species
UACGAAGGGGGCUAGCGUUGCUCGGAAUCACUGGGCGUAAAGGGCGCGUAGGCGGCCGCCUAAGUCAGACGUGAAAUCCCCAAGCUUAACUUGGGAACUGCGUCUGAUACUGGGUGGCUUGAGUACGGGAGAGGCGAGUGGAAUUCCUGGUGUAGCGGUGAAAUGCGCAGAUAUCAGGAGGAACACCGAUUGCGAAGGCAGCUCGCUGGAACGUUACUGACGCUGAGACGCGAAGCGUGGGGAGCAAACAGG